ensembl:lncRNA
AGGCUGAAAUUGUCAAAGAGAAAGCUAAACCAACCCCUGUGAAGAAAGGUUUGAUUUACGUACUAUGCUCACAAUCCCAAGCAGAAUAUUAUAUCAUGCUAUAUUAAGUCUUUUAUUUGCUCUAAAUGUUAUUUUAUAAAUGUUUCAGAGGCUGAAAUCAUCAAGGAGAAAGCUAAACCAGCUCAUGAGAAGAAAGUGGCUGAAGUCUUCAAGGAGAAAGUUAAGCAAGCGCCUGUAAAGAAAAGUAUGGAUGUCAAUGAAAUCAUCUUGCAUGUAGUAUUGCUUUCUUUUGUAUGAUUAUUAUAUAAAAUGAUUAUCACAUGAAACCAUACUGUUUUAUAGAACCUGAAGUCUCAAAAGAAAAGUUAUUAGAGCCAACACCUAAAAAAGGUGAGAACUUCCCACAUCUUUUACAAAAUGUACAAAAUACUGUGGUUGUUUUUUUUUGUUGUGUGUGUAUGUGUGUGUGUGUGUGUGUGUGUGUGUGUGUGUGUGUGUGUGUGUGUGUGUGUGUGUGUGUGUGUGUGUGUGUGUGUGUGUGUGUGUGUGUGUGUGUGUGUGUUUGUUUUUUUUUGAGCUACAACUAAACAAGAGCUUAUUGCCCCUUUAAUGUUCAUGUGAGUGAGUGAAAUUUUUUUCUUUUCUAGACCGUGAAACUCUGAUGAACGUUACUAAGACAGCACAUAUUAAAGCUGAACGUGAUGCACUGAAAAACAUCACUAAACCAGCACCUGCAAAGAGAGAUAAAGAGGCUCCAAAAGCUAAGAUCAGACCAGAGCCCAAAAAGAAAGAAAUCACCCGUGAGAAGGUCAAAGAAGAAAAAGAACCUUUAAAGAAAGUAGUCAAGCCAACUGAGAAGGUACCUGUUCUGGACAAGGAAGUAAAAAGAGAAGAACCUGAUGUCACUAAAGAUAUUCCAGAGAUAGAGGAGGAGGACGUUCCCUACUUCCAGUGUUUCUUUGUGGAUGAGGAUGAUACUCAGUAUCCGUUCUUCCCCUUUUCACCACCGCUGUGUUCCCAUGACAGGCAAGGAGGAGUGUCAGGGUUUCCCAGAGCCUCUUUGCCUCUUUUCUUUUCAUUGGGGAACAACGGGGAGAGUUUCUUUCAUGACACUUGGCAAGAGCAUAAUCUGGCAGUGAUGUCACUCCUAAACUUAUAGGCUAUUGGCCCAUGGAAGAACGGACUACUCUCGGCCCACAAAGAAGCGAGGCAAAAUCAGCUUAAAGCUGAACUGUGGUUGGCCUAGAGAAGAAAAAAAAGGGAGAAGAUGAAGGCAAGCAUUCAUGCUUCCUGACAAAUGGCCACAGAGACUUGACAUAGACUGAGAGGAUGAAUAGACCCCCCAUAUCCUCUCGCUUUUUUUCUCUUGCUCAGUCACUUUGAAGACAAAAUUAGUCUACACAGUAGUCUUGGCACUUUUGAAAACACCUGUGGUGAUCUAAAAGAAAUAAAAACUUUACUUUACUAUAGGUUUUUGUAUUC